ACGACGUAGAUAGGUUGGGUGUGUAAGUGUAGUGAUACAUUGAGCUAACCAAUACUAAUUGCCCGAGAGGCUUAACCAU
rnacentral:rRNA from 1 species